UCUCUACUGCUGGGCGUUCCUAUGCUUGUUGAGUGCAUAUGUACGUGUUCAGUGGAGAAAGAGAAAAGCCAGAGCUAUGCCUUCAGUACUAGUGUGUGUGAUUUUGUCUGCUAGUACUAUUCUCACCUGCUGGCACAUGU